rnacentral:misc_RNA from 1 species
GCCGCCUCGUCGGCGCACCGGCGCUCUCGUGUUUCCGUAAAGCGGCAGCUCUACUCAGAGCCGGCUGAAGGCCGAACCUUGUCAAGGUCACGGCCGCUGCGCGGCGCUCGGCCGGCUCACGUGGGGGACGAAUGGCCGGUUGGUCAGUGGUCUGUGCCUUUGUGUUUGUUUUUAUGUAGAAUAUCAACGGCGUUGUGCUAAUGGCGCUUAUACGAGGUCGAAGUUGGUGCGACCAAGAACCCGUUUUGCACGCUGAGACUUCGCAUGGGAGGCAAAACUUGUCGUUACGGCACCACGGCAGUGAAUACAGCCCGUUCGACGACAACUCCCCGUCUCUGCAAACGGCGUGCGAACAUCAGUAACGACAAGUUUGACGUCCAGGACUGCACGCGGACUGCACACGCGCCUGACCGACAUCAUGGAUCUGGAUAAACUGCAAGUUGCUGAGCUGAAGCGGGAGUUAGAUAGGAGGGGAGAAGACACAAGAGGUACAAAAUCUGUUCUACGAGAGAGGUUGGGGCAAGUGUUAAAGGAAGAACUUGCACAGAGUGCUCUAGGUGAUAAGGUUAGUGUUAAGUCCAGUCCUGAGCAGGAGCAGGAGCUGAAAGACGUCAAGGAAGGUGCGGAAGGUGCCAGAUCAGUGAGAUCUGGCUCGUCAUCGACAAGGACAUCCAGCAAGGCUGCUUCAGUGGCUUCGGAGCGAGCCCUGGAGGCAGCAAGGAGGGCGGGACUGCGUACCAAGGCAGCGGCAUUGAAGAAAAGACAUGAGCUUGAAGCGAUGCAAGAGGAGCUAAGAAGAAAGAAGGAAGAGCUUGAAGUUCAAGCUGAGCUUGAUGAAAGUCUGGCAAAAGAAGAAGUACUGGCUCAGUUUGAAAGGGAAACACUGAUGACGUCACUCGAGGAACGUGUGAUGAAAGCACAUGAACAAGAAGAAAGAAAUGAACAAGAACUGCCAAGACAUGAACCAGAAAUGAAACAAGAAAUGAAAAGAGAUGAACCAGAACAGGAACAUGGGCAAAGAAAUGAACAAGAAAUGAGAAAUGAAAUGAGAAAUGAACCAAGAACCAGAAGCGAAUCAAGGAAAACAAAUGAAGCAAGAAGGGUAGAUCAAGAACUGAAGAAACGUGAACAAGAAGCAAGAAAUAAGCGAGAACCCAGAAAGCAUGUCCGAGAAAGAAGACGUGAAGAAGAACCAAAUGGUGAAGAAGAGCCCAGGGAAAUUGAAGAAGACGAAGAAAGCUCAAGAGAAGAAGCUCGAUCAACAAGAAUGAAAAGAAGCGAAGUAGAGAUAGCAUCAGUGCUUCCAAACCUGAAGAGACUGGGAAUGCAACCCCCGGAACUGAUCGCGUUCGACGGCAAGGAAGAGGAGUUCGCUCAAUUUCUGGCCGCAUUUGAGGCAAACAUAGCCGCCAACCUGGACAGCGAAGAAGAAAAGCUGUUAUAUCUGCUACAAAUGACGAAGAAGAAACCUCAUGACAUUGUAGCAACGUGUACCUACCUGGGACAAAAGGGAUAUCAAGAAGCCGUGCGUCUGCUGAAGGCGAGGUACACCGACUUCACAUCGGCGAGAGCGAGCCUGAUUGACAAAGUGUUGAGUCAUCCACCCAUCAGAUAUGAGGACGUUGAAGGUCUUGACAGCUUUACCAUCCUGCUGAGAGGCGUUCUGAACGCCCUUCACUCGACGUCAAGAGGUGGUCUAGAGCCAGGCACAAUAUGCAAGAUCAUCGAGAAAGUACCAUGGAUGGCAGAUCGGUGGCGCAGGACGGCUGACCGAAUCCAGCAAGAGCACCAGCGCCAAGCGAGCUUCACGGAUCUGGUCGACUUCAUGGAAACAGAAGCACGGAUCAGCAAGAACCCUGCAUAUGGAAGACAUGUGCUGGCCACGCGAGCAAGACCAGAGAGAGGUCCUCAAGAAGCUCAGCGAAUGCAGGUCAGAAGAUAUCAGGAUAGUCGAAAGGACACCAAGCACUCAGAACACCAGUUCAGUCAUGAAAGAAGUCGAGCUUAUGCAAGUAGCAUGAAGCAGCCAGAGAAGUGCUUCUACUGCGAUCAGCCCCACGAACUUGAAGUGUGUAGAGCAUUCGAAGCGAAAUCGGAGCAAGAUAAGUCACAGUACGUGCGUCAAAAUGGACUGUGUUUCGGCUGUCUAAAGAAAGGACACCUCUCCAAGAACUGUGAGCAAAGAAGCCGCUGCAAGAAAUGCGAGAAAUCACAUCCUACGAGUCUGCACAGAGAGCCACCUGCAAACGCCAACGUGGUGAAGUCGGGACAUGUAUCGCAGGCAUGUGAAGGUGGUGGAAAGCUUCAGGUGCUUCCAAUAUCAGCCAACUUCGGCGAUCGCUCCGUGGGAACUGGAGCUUUCAUCGAUGCUGGCAGCACACACUCUUUCAUAACACGGAAGCUGGUACGUCAGUUGGGCAUGCAACCAGAGGAGAAAACGUCCGUAGUGAUGUCGACUAUAAAUGGAGAACGAAGAAUGAAGACAGCUCUGGUCACUGGUGUGAGCAUCGGAUCUGAAGACGGCUCUCAUCUAGUCGAGCUCCCAGUACUCUACGUUGUCGAUCACAUCCCCGUCGAAGAGGAGGACGUAGCACGCCAAGAGGACGUCGACAAGUGGCCACAUCUUCGAGAACGUGGAGUCAAGAUCGGCUGGAUGGAGAGGAUGGACAUUGGCCUACAUACUCAUCGGUGCGAACGCCGGUGUGGUGUCAGAACCCGUGGAAGUGGUGAAUCGCCCUGGUCAGGAGGGCCCAUAUGCUGUCAGAACUCGAUAUGGUUGGCUGGUGUGUGGAGUACAGGGCAAGACGGGACCAGGUGCUCAUGUCGCACGAAUCAAUCGCAUCAAGAUCCUGGAGGAUCCCGAUCUGGAAUUCUUCGACAGUACCGAUAGUCGCAGAGGCUAUUCAGUGGAAGACGUCAAAUGGUGUCUCAAGGUCGAGGAUUCAUGCACCAAGAAUGGCGAGAAGUACGAGAUAGGACUACCGUUUCGAGAUGCCAAACCAGAUCUGCCAGACAACCGCGUGAUGGCAGAAAGAAGACUCGAAUCGUUGAGAAGGAAAUUCGACAGGGACGGAAAAUACGCAGCUGACUACAAGGCGCAGAUGAAGAAGCUGCUGAAUGAAGGCUAUGCCGAAGAAGCACCAACAGACUCCGGAAGUGGAAAGGGGGAUCACUGGUACAUCCCACACCACGGUGUGUACCAUCCCACCAAGAACAAACUGAGGGUAGUAUUCGACUGUAGUGCUACCUACAACGGAAUCAGCUUGAACGACGUGCUAUUGCAAGGCCCGAAUCUAUCAAACUCACUGGUCGAUGUUUUGAUUCGCUUUCGUCAGGAGGUGGUAGCCUUCACGGGCGACAUUGAAUCAAUGUUUCUGCAGGUGAUGGUGCCAGAGAACGACAGAAACUACCUGAGUUUCCUGUGGUGGCCGGACGGUGAUGUCAAUGGCGCGGCCCAGGUCUACAGAAUGACAACACAUCUAUUUGGAGCUACGUCCAGCCCCAGCUGCGCAAACUAUGCUCUCCAUCGAACCGCCGAGGACUUUGGAGCUGCGUACUCUCCUGAAGUCAAGAUGGCCCUGAGACGAGGCUUCUAUGUUGACGAUGUCUGUCAGGCGACGACGUCAGAAGCAUCAGCUGUGGAGUUGGCGAUGAACCUGAAGCAGCUCUGCGCCAUGGGUGGCUUCAACCUGACUAAGUUCAGCUCCAACAGCGUUGAAGUGCUCAGAGCGCUGCCAGAGGAGAACAGAUCGAAAGGAAAUCCUCAACUAGGACAAGAAACCCCGUCAAGUGAGAGAGUUCUAGGUGUACGCUGGGACACGGAAAGAGAUGAACUCGGUUUCAGCCUCGACAUCGCUGCACUCGAAAGAAAACCGAGGACGCGACGAGGAAUACUCUCUGCAACAGCAGCCUGCUAUGACCCGCUUGGCCUGGCCGCACCGCACGUGGUUCGGGGAAGGAUGGUUCUGCAAGAGCUGACACGGCUACGAAGUGGCUGGGACGAUCCCGUUCCUGUUGAAGUGGGAGCUGAGUGGGACAGAUGGCUGAGUGAGUUGAGCUGCCUGUUGGAUGCUCGAGUUCCGCGAUGUUUCAGCCCGCAGGGACUGAGUGCCGCGACGACUGUAAGUCUACACCACUUCGCCGAUGCCAGUCUCAAGGGGUAUGGGACAGCCUCCUACAUACGCACUGUGAGCGCAGAUGGUGAAAUAUCCUGCUCACUGGUGAUGGGACGAGGUCGAGUCGCCCCACUCAAGGCGAUUACAGUCCCAAGACUGGAACUAGCCGCAGCCAAGCUCGCCGUCGAAGUCAAUCAAGAACUCUUGCUCGCUUUGGACAGAAAGAUCCAGGACGUUACCUACUGGACGGACAGUACCACGGUACUGCGUUACAUCAGCAACGAGACCACUCGUUACCCUAUCUUCGUAGCGAACAGACUCGCCGCCAUCCAUGAUGGAUCAAGGAAGGAACAGUGGCGAUACGUACCCUCAUCGCUGAAUGCCGCAGACAUGGUUUCUAGAGGAAAUCUCCAUGAUCAAGACAUGUGGCAGAACGGACCAUCAUUCAUCUGGAAGUCACCGGAACAUUGGCCGAAGUCACCAUGCGUCGGUGAGAUUCGCCCUGACGACCCGGAAGUGAAGUCCACUCGGCUCUGUUCUGGCCUGUCGGCUGCAGCCGUGGCACGCAAGACUGAAGACUCCAGCCCACAGCCAAUGGAUCGUCUGAUCGAGUACCAUUCAUCAUGGAAGAAGCUCACGACAGCGGUGGCAUGGAUCCGCCGCACGAUUCAGGUCUUGCAGCGCAAGAUCAAAGGUGAAGAACCCUCAGGAAAACAGGAGCUCACACCUGCUGACUUGGAAGAUGCCGAGAGAAUCGUUGUGAAGCACGUUCAGAAGACGCACUUCCAGCAGGAGCUGGCCGAUUUGGGUGCUGGACGCGAAGUGCGCUGUGCCAGCCGUCUGGCACGUCUGAGCCCGUUUGUGGAUGAUGGCCUCAUCAGGAUGCGCGGACGCUUGACAAACUCUAACUUGGAUUGGACGACAAAGCAUCCUCUGAUCCUUCCAGACAAAGACAAGAUCGUGGAUCUCAUCAUCACUGAUUUGCACGAAAGAGUAGGGCACGAAGGGCGCAUGCAUGUUCUCUCAGAACUCAGGACGAAGUUCUGGGUCAUCAAAGGAAACAGCGCAGUACGGAGGUGUCUACACCGAUGUGUGAAAUGCAGAAGACGCCAUCGCCCGGUGGAAGGACAGAAGAUGGCAGACCUGCCGCGUGAUCGGGUGGAGGAGACUUCUCACCCGUUCUCCUGCACCGGUGUGGACUAUUUUGGUCCGUUGUAUGCCAAGAGAGGACGAGGACACGUGAAAAAGUUUGGUGUCAUCUUCACCUGUCUGAGCGUGAGAGCAGUACAUUUGGAACUUGCAGACAGCCUAUCAGCUGACUCUUUCAUCUGUGCGUUGCGCCGUUUCGUGGCCCGACGAGGCGAUGUGCGCCUGCUCCGCUCCGACAGGGGUACUAACUUCGUAGGAGCCGAAAGGGAGCUGCGAAGAGAAAUCGACACUCUGAUCUCAAGCAACAGUAGCAUUCAGAAGGAGAUGUUGAACAGGGGGAUCGAAUGGCGGUUCAAUACCCCCGCAGCCUCCCACCACGGCGGCGUGUGGGAAAGACUCAUUCGAAGCGUGCGUAAGACUUUGAACGCACUUCUAACAGGACAGACUUUCACAGAAGAAACGCUUCACACGUUUUUAUGUGAAGCAGAGUCAAUCAUCAACAACAGACCGUUGACUCCAGUGACGUCAGACCCACGGGAUGAACUACCCCUGACACCGAAUCACAUUCUUCACCUAAAAUGUGUGACGCAGAACCAGGAUUCGUCGGACGAACGAGAUUUGGACGGCCCCAAGAGAUGGAGGCAAGCGGCAUACCUGGCGGAGCAGUUUUGGCGCGCGUGGAGGCGUUUCUACUUGCCGCUUCUACAGGAGCGCUCCGUUGCUACAAGAAGCCGAACGAACCUGGCGCCAGGAGAUGUCGUCGUUCUGGUAGACGACCUAGUACCAAGAGGAGUGUGGCCUCUCGGCCGCGUGGUCGAGGCACUUAAAGGAGUUGAUGGUCGUGUGCGAUCGGUGAAGGUCCGCGCGAGGGGCACUGUGCUCCUUCGCCCAGUCACCAAGGUGGUGAAGAUCCUGGCUACCGAAGAAUAGAGUAUGGCAUCGUUUUUGAACCCGGAUGGUUCAAAAGGGGUGGGUGUUGGCGCCGCCUCGUCGGCGCACCGGCGCUCUCGUGUUUCCGUAAAGCGGCAGCUCUACUCAGAGCCGGCUGAAGGCCGAACCUUGUCAAGGUCACGGCCGCUGCGCGGCGCUCGGCCGGCUCACGUGGGGGACGAAUGGCCGGUUGGUCAGUGGUCUGUGCCUUUGUGUUUGUUUUUAUGUAGAAUAUCAACGGCGUUGUGCUAAUGGCGCUUAUACGAGGUUGAAGUUGGUGCGACCAAGAACCCGUUUUGCACGCUGAGACUUCGCAUGGGAGGCAAAACUUGUCGGUAUGAACUGAACUGGGGAUUUAGACUGUCAUUAUCUGUAAGAAAUUGUAUGCAAUCAUCACUUGUGACUGCGACUGAAAGUGUUUGCAUUUUUGUAUUUAAAGGUGUUCCGAGAUAAGAUACGAAAGUUAGUAAACAAUGUAUUUGAAACGCGUCAGAUAAGAUAUAAACAAAGGGAAAUU